rnacentral:rRNA from 1 species
UUGAACGCUGGCGGCAUGCCUUACACAUGCAAGUCGAACGGUAACGAGCCUUCGGGUGCCGCCGAGUGGCGAACGGGUGAGUAAUACAUCGGAACGUGCCCGAUCGUGGGGGAUAACGAGGCGAAAGCUUUGCUAAUACCGCAUACGAUCUACGGAUGAAAGCAGGGGACCGCAAGGCCUUGCGCGGACGGAGCGGCCGAUGGCAGAUUAGGUAGUUGGUGGGAUAAAAGCUUACCAAGCCGACGAUCUGUAGCUGGUCUGAGAGGAUGAUCAGCCACACUGGGACUGAGACACGGCCCAGACUCCUACGGGAGGCAGCAGUGGGGAAUUUUGGACAAUGGGCGCAAGCCUGAUCCAGCCAUGCCGCGUGCAGGAUGAAGGCCUUCGGGUUGUAAACUGCUUUUGUACGGAACGAAAAGCCUUCUUUUAAUACAGGAGGGUCAUGACGGUACCGUAAGAAUAAGCACCGGCUAACUACGUG